GUGGAUGCCCUGGCAGUCAGAGGCGAUGAAGGACGUGCUAAUCUGCGAUAAGCGUCGGUAAGGUGAUAUGAACCGUUAUAACCGGCGAUUUCCGAAUGGGGAAACCCAGUGUGAUUCGUCACACUAUCAUUAACUGAAUCCAUAGGUUAAUGAGGCGAACCGGGGGAACUGAAACAUCUAAGUACCCCGAGGAAAAGAAAUCAACCGAGAUUCCCCCAGUAGCGGCGAGCGAACGGGGAGGAGCCCAGAGCCUGAAUCAGUGUGUGUGUUAGUGGAAGCGUCUGGAAAGGCGCGCGAUACAGGGUGACAGCCCCGUACACAAAAAUGCACAUGCUGUGAGCUCGAUGAGUAGGGCGGGACACGUGGUAUCCUGUCUGAAUAUGGGGGGACCAUCCUCCAAGGCUAAAUACUCCUGACUGACCGAUAGUGAACCAGUACCGUGAGGGAAAGGCGAAAAGAACCCCGGCGAGGGGAGUGAAAAAGAACCUGAAACCGUGUACGUACAAGCAGUGGGAGCACAGAGCAAUCUGUGUGACUGCGUACCUUUUGUAUAAUGGGUCAGCGACUUAUAUUCUGUAGCAAGGUUAACCGAAUAGGGGAGCCGAAGGGAAACCGAGUCUUAACUGGGCGUUAAGUUGCAGGGUAUAGACCCGAAACCCGGUGAUCUAGCCAUGGGCAGGUUGAAGGUUGGGUAACACUAACUGGAGGACCGAACCGACUAAUGUUGAAAAAUUAGCGGAUGACUUGUGGCUGGGGGUGAAAGGCCAAUCAAACCGGGAGAUAGCUGGUUCUCCCCGAAAGCUAUUUAGGUAGCGCCUCGUGAAUUCAUCUCCGGGGGUAGAGCACUGUUUCGGCAAGGGGGUCAUCCCGACUUACCAACCCGAUGCAAACUGCGAAUACCGGAGAAUGUUAUCACGGGAGACACACGGCGGGUGCUAACGUCCGUCGUGAAGAGGGAAACAACCCAGACCGCCAGCUAAGGUCCCAAAGUCAUGGUUAAGUGGGAAACGAUGUGGGAAGGCCCAGACAGCCAGGAUGUUGGCUUAGAAGCAGCCAUCAUUUAAAGAAAGCGUAAUAGCUCACUGGUCGAGUCGGCCUGCGCGGAAGAUGUAACGGGGCUAAACCAUGCACCGAAGCUGCGGCAGCGACACUGUGUGUUGUUGGGUAGGGGAGCGUUCUGUAAGCCUGUGAAGGUGUGCUGUGAGGCAUGCUGGAGGUAUCAGAAGUGCGAAUGCUGACAUAAGUAACGAUAAAGCGGGUGAAAAGCCCGCUCGCCGGAAGACCAAGGGUUCCUGUCCAACGUUAAUCGGGGCAGGGUGAGUCGACCCCUAAGGCGAGGCCGAAAGGCGUAGUCGAUGGGAAACAGGUUAAUAUUCCUGUACUUGGUGUUACUGCGAAGGGGGGACGGAGAAGGCUAUGUUGGCCGGGCGACGGUUGUCCCGGUUUAAGCGUGUAGGCUGGUUUUCCAGGCAAAUCCGGAAAAUCAAGGCUGAGGCGUGAUGACGAGGCACUACGGUGCUGAAGCAACAAAUGCCCUGCUUCCAGGAAAAGCCUCUAAGCAUCAGGUAACAUCAAAUCGUACCCCAAACCGACACAGGUGGUCAGGUAGAGAAUACCAAGGCGCUUGAGAGAACUCGGGUGAAGGAACUAGGCAAAAUGGUGCCGUAACUUCGGGAGAAGGCACGCUGAUAUGUAGGUGAAGUCCCUCGCGGAUGGAGCUGAAAUCAGUCGAAGAUACCAGCUGGCUGCAACUGUUUAUUAAAAACACAGCACUGUGCAAACACGAAAGUGGACGUAUACGGUGUGACGCCUGCCCGGUGCCGGAAGGUUAAUUGAUGGGGUCAGCGCAAGCGAAGCUCUUGAUCGAAGCCCCGGUAAACGGCGGCCGUAACUAUAACGGUCCUAAGGUAGCGAAAUUCCUUGUCGGGUAAGUUCCGACCUGCACGAAUGGCGUAAUGAUGGCCAGGCUGUCUCCACCCGAGACUCAGUGAAAUUGAACUCGCUGUGAAGAUGCAGUGUACCCGCGGCAAGACGGAAAGACCCCGUGAACCUUUACUAUAGCUUGACACUGAACAUUGAGCCUUGAUGUGUAGGAUAGGUGGGAGGCUUUGAAGUGUGGACGCCAGUCUGCAUGGAGCCGACCUUGAAAUACCACCCUUUAAUGUUUGAUGUUCUAACGUGGACCCGUGAUCCGGGUUGCGGACAGUGUCUGGUGGGUAGUUUGACUGGGGCGGUCUCCUCCUAAAGAGUAACGGAGGAGCACGAAGGUUGGCUAAUCCUGGUCGGACAUCAGGAGGUUAGUGCAAUGGCAUAAGCCAGCUUGACUGCGAGCGUGACGGCGCGAGCAGGUGCGAAAGCAGGUCAUAGUGAUCCGGUGGUUCUGAAUGGAAGGGCCAUCGCUCAACGGAUAAAAGGUACUCCGGGGAUAACAGGCUGAUACCGCCCAAGAGUUCAUAUCGACGGCGGUGUUUGGCACCUCGAUGUCGGCUCAUCACAUCCUGGGGCUGAAGUAGGUCCCAAGGGUAUGGCUGUUCGCCAUUUAAAGUGGUACGCGAGCUGGGUUUAGAACGUCGUGAGACAGUUCGGUCCCUAUCUGCCGUGGGCGCUGGAGAACUGAGGGGGGCUGCUCCUAGUACGAGAGGACCGGAGUGGACGCAUCACUGGUGUUCGGGUUGUCAUGCCAAUGGCACUGCCCGGUAGCUAAAUGCGGAAGAGAUAAGUGCUGAAAGCAUCUAAGCACGAAACUUGCCCCGAGAUGAGUUCUCCCUGACCCUUUAAGGGUCCUGAAGGAACGUUGAAGACGACGACGUUGAUAGGCCGGGUGUGUAAGCGCAGCGAUGCGUUGAGCUAACCGGUACUAAUGAACCGUGAGGCUUAACCUUACAACGCCGAAGGUGUUU
rnacentral:rRNA from 1 species